rnacentral:rRNA from 1 species
UACAGAGGGUGCGAGCGUUAAUCGGAAUUACUGGGCGUAAAGCGCGCGUAGGCGGCUUUGCAAGUCGGGUGUGAAAGCCCCGGGCUCAACCUGGGAAUUGCAUUUGAGACUGCAUAGCUAGGGUGCGGAAGAGGGAAGCGGAAUUUCCGGUGUAGCGGUGAAAUGCGUAGAUAUCGGAAGGAACACCAGUGGCGAAAGCGGCUUCCUGGUCCAGCACCGACGUUCAGGCACGAAAGCGUGGGGAGCAAACAGG